AGAGUUUGAUCAUGGCUCAGAACGAACGCUGGCGGCAGGCCUAACACAUGCAAGUCGAACGCCCUAGCAAUAGGGAGUGGCGCACGGGUGAGUAACGCGUGGGAAUGUACCCUUGGGUGCGGAACAACAUUGGGAAACCGAUGCUAAUACCGCAUAAUAUCUACGGAUCAAAGAUUUAUCGCCCAAGGAUCAGCCCGCGUAAGAUUAGGUAGUUGGUGGGGUAAUGGCCUACCAAGCCUACGAUCUUUAGCUGGUCUUAGAGGAUGAUCAGCCACACUGGGACUGAGACACGGUCCAGACUCCUACGGGAGGCAGCAGUGGGGAAUUUUGCGCGAUGGGCGAAAGCCUGACGCAGCAACGCCGCGUGUGUGACGAAGGCCCUUGGGUUGUAAAGCACUGUGGGCAGGGAAGAAAAAACGGGGGUUGUACCCCGUCUUGACGGUACCUGUUUAGAAAGCACCGGCUAACUCCGUGCCAGCAGCCGCGGUAAUACGGAGGGUGCAAGCGUUGUUCGGAAUUAUUGGGCGUAAAGGGCGUGUAGGUGGCUUACCAAGUCUGGUGUGAAAUCCCACGGCUCAACCGUGGAACUGCAUUGGAAAUUGGUGAGCUCGAGUAUUGGAGGGGGUCGCGGAAUUCCCGGUGUAGAGGUGAAAUUCGUAGAUAUCGGGAGGAACACCAGUGGCGAAGGCGGCGACCUGGCCAUUUACUGACACUGAGACGCGAAAGCGUGGGGAGCAAACAGGAUUAGAUACCCUGGUAGUCCACGCCGUAAACGAUGGAUGCUAGCCGUCGGGGAGCUUGCUCUUCGGUGGCGCAGCUAACGCAUUAAGCAUCCCGCCUGGGGAGUACGGUCGCAAGAUUAAAACUCAAAGGAAUUGACGGGGACCCGCACAAGCGGUGGAUGAUGUGGAUUAAUUCGAUGCAACGCGAAAAACCUUACCUACCCUUGACAUGUCCGGAAUCCUGCAGAGAUGCGGGAGUGCCCGAAAGGGAAUCGGAACACAGGUGCUGCAUGGCUGUCGUCAGCUCGUGUCGUGAGAUGUUGGGUUAAGUCCCGCAACGAGCGCAACCCUUAUCAUUAGUUGCUACGCAAGGGCACUCUAAUGAGACUGCCGGUGACAAACCGGAGGAAGGUGGGGAUGACGUCAAGUCCUCAUGGCCCUUAUGGGUAGGGCUUCACACGUCAUACAAUGGUCGGUACAGAGGGUUGCCAAGCCGCGAGGUGGAGCCAAUCCCAGAAAGCCGAUCGUAGUCCGGAUUGUUCUCUGCAACUCGAGAGCAUGAAGUCGGAAUCGCUAGUAAUCGCGGAUCAGCAUGUCGCGGUGAAUACGUUCCCGGGUCUUGUACACACCGCCCGUCACACCAUGGGAGUGGAAUCUGCCAGAAGUAGGUAGCCUAACCGCAAGGGGGGCGCUUACCACGGUGGGUUUCAUGACUGGGGUGAAGUCGUAACAAGGUAACCGUA
rnacentral:rRNA from 1 species